AAAUUGAAGAGUUUGAUCAUGGCUCAGAUUGAACGCUGGCGGCAGGCCUAACACAUGCAAGUCGAACGGUAACAGGAAGCAGCUUGCUGCUUCGCUGACGAGUGGCGGACGGGUGAGUAAUGUCUGGGAAACUGCCUGAUGGAGGGGGAUAACUACUGGAAACGGUAGCUAAUACCGCAUAAUGUCGCAAGACCAAAGAGGGGGACCUUCGGGCCUCUUGCCAUCGGAUGUGCCCAGAUGGGAUUAGCUUGUUGGUGGGGUAACGGCUCACCA
rnacentral:rRNA from 2 species